rnacentral:rRNA from 1 species
UACGAAGGGGGCUAGCGUUGCUCGGAAUCACUGGGCGUAAAGGGUGCGUAGGCGGGUCUUUAAGUCAGGGGUGAAAUCCUGGAGCUCAACUCCAGAACUGCCUUUGAUACUGGAGAGCUUGAGUCCGGGAGAGGUGAGUGGAACUCGAGUGUAGAGGUGAAAUUCGUAGAUAUUCGGAAGAACACCAGUGGCGAAGGCGGCUCACUGGCCCGGUACUGACGCUGAGGUGACGA